GACGUAGGGGGCGAGCGUUGUCCGGAAUUACUGGGCGUAAAGAGCACGUAGGCGGAUGCUUAAGUCAGGUGUGAAAGACCGCAGCUCAACUGCGGGGUGGCACUUGAAACUGGACAUCUUGAGGGCAGGAGAGGAAAGCAGAAUUCCUGGUGUAGCGGUGAAAUGCGUAGAAAUCAGGAGGAAUACCGGUGGCGAAGGCGGCUUUCUGGACUGACCCUGACGCUGAGGUGCGAAAGCGUGGGUAGCAAACAGG
rnacentral:rRNA from 1 species